CCCGAGCUCGGUGGGGUCGCUGCACCGGGCACACGCACAGUCGAAGAACUUCCCGUAGCGGAGGUGUUUGCGGCGCUCGGUGGUGGCGGAGAGUAUGUGUGUGUAGGUGGCUGUGUUGGGGGGGAGGGGAAGAAAAGUUGAGGUUAAGGGCUGAAAUGGAUGAAGGUGGGUGGUUAAGGUUUGUAAGAGAUAAGAGGUUGUAUAUGGAUGUGGGUGUGGGUGGCUGUGUUGGGGAGGAAGAAGAAAAGUUGAGGUUAAGUGCUGAAAUGGAUGAAUGGAUGAAGAUGGGUGGGUGGAUUGGGUUUGAAAGAGAUGAGAGGUUGUAU